UGAUAGCUCAGUUGGUAGAGCAUGAUACUCUUAAUCUCAGGGUUGUGGAUUCAAUCCCUUCGUUGGGCAAAA